CUGCCCACUGAAUUAUUUAAAUGGCCGCAGUAUUUUGACUGUGCAAAGGUAGCAUAAUCAUUAGUUUUUUAAUUAAAAGCUUGUAUGAAAGGUUGGACGAGGUAAAAUCUGUCUCUAUAUAAUUUAUUAUAGAAUUUUAUUUUUAAGUCAAAAAGCUUAAAUAUUUAUAAAAGACGAGAAGACCCUAUAGAUCUUUAUAAUUUUUUAUUAUAAUUAAUUAAGAUUAAUUAAGAUUAUAAUAAAAAAAUUAUUUUAUUGGGGUAAUAGAAAGAUUAAUAAAAUUCUUUUUUAUUUUAAACAUUAAUUUAUGGUUUUGUGAUCCAAUAAUAUUGAUUAUAAGAUUAAGUUACCUUAGGGAUAACAGCGUAAUUUUUUUAGAGAGUUCAUAUCGAUAAAAAAGUUUGCGACCUCGAUGUUGGAUUAAAGAUUAGUUUAGGUGUAGUAGUUUAAAUUUUUGGUCUGUUCGACCA
rnacentral:rRNA from 1 species